rnacentral:lncRNA from 1 species
AUGUGUCGAGAUGACCUAAGGAGGUUGGAGUCUGCUGAACGACUUUGCAAGCUAUCCGCUCUCACUGUCCACAACAACAAAUCCAAAAAAUACCUGCAAAGACGUGCUUCUGCACACUCACUGCUCAUCCUUUAUGCACAACUGCAAGUACAGCAACCUCAAGGGAGCAUCACUCAGACUACUGAAGAGCAUCAGGAGGUGAUUACUGUGAUCCUGCCAUACGCUCCUUGUUCUCCGGUAAUGGAUUGGGCCACAGCCAUGCCUGUUGAGCUGAUGUUUUUAGAGUUUUAAUGGAGUGGUAAGUUGCAGUUAACAGUUCUACUGUUCUAUUUUUAGGAUUUGCACUCCCACAUGUUUUAACCACCAGUGGUCUCGAUCAGGAGAUCUAGCGAUCUCUUUUUUUGGAUUUCUCUUUCUGUCCAGUUCUUGCAGCCAGCCUUCACAGCACAUUGCACUUGAAAAAUGAAGAAAGUGGAGAACAGAAAAGGGAAGUGCUGGGACUGUUUCUGCAAGCUCCACCGCCGGUCUAUUUUUAGUUGAUCUCUUAUCGAUAAUACGAUGCUCCCUAAGGUUUCAUAAGCAACUGAGAUUCCUUUGUCUUGUUUAACUUUACCACCUUUCUGUCCGUCUCUUUCCUUUCCCUGCUCCAUAUUCCCCUCUCUACUCGUGUAGCCAAUACAAUAUUGAUGAGGCGGAUCGAUCAAAAGAGCAGCACCCUUACCCUCCAGCUGCUGUCGGUCAUCCAAUAUUCUGAUACAAGCAAUAAAUUGCUGCAGGUAAGGAUUUCCUCCACUUUUAGAUCCGUGUCCUAAGAAUAAAUUGUUCUGAUUGUUGAGAUUUUAAUUGCUUUAAAUAUUUGAAGGUUAUGUUUGUUUUUACAUUCUCUGGCAUGAAGUCAUGUUCCUUUCUAAGUUGCACCCUCUUAGUUCCAUUUGCUGUUAUGAGUUGGAGUUUAAAUUUGUUUCUGGGGUCUCCAGAGACUUCACCACAGUAAGGAGCCUUGACUGCAGCAGCUAUAGAGCCUCAGUCAUCAUCAUAGAGGAUUAUGUUACUGUUGGUCUGGUACAGAGCAAUAUCAAUAACAAUCUUUGCACUACAUCUGUCUCAUGUGAAGUUUAACUCGAUACAAGGUGCUCUGAUGAUUGCCUUUCCCCUCUGAGACUCCAAACCGAGUUACAUUUUCAUCUUCGGCUGAGUUUUAGUACUGAAACUCUGAGUAUCUUAAUUAAAUGAGGUGAUCUGCUCAAACAAAGCUGACACAGUGAAACAGAUUGGGUGGAGAGGUAAUUGUGGGAAAUUAAACUUGUCUUUUGUGGGCUGUACUGUUGUCAAAAAGAAGAAACGUUGAAUUGUUUUUGAAAGAGAUCAAGAUUCAAAGAGUUAUUUUUGCAGUCAUAUAAUUAAAUUUGAACUUGAAUAUGUUGUUGUUGUUUUGCAGCUGUAAAACAUCAUUUGUGUCUAAUUUUCAAAGUAUGCAUGAAGUAAUCUUUCCCUUAAGGUUUUGUUUUUUACUUGCUUGCUAAUGAGCUGUUAAGAUCAUUAUUUGUGGUUUUCUUUCUUGCAUAAUUUCAUCACGACAGUUAGAACAUGUUGAAGUUAAAAAUUUAAAUGUUGUGUUUAUUAAUGUUUUAGUCAAUGUCCAACUAUAUCAGAGGAAUUCUGCUUGGAGUCAGCAUGUCACCCGAUGUUUUAUUUAAACAUUCUUGUGUUUCACAAAUAUGUGUUAAUGCUCCAGAUUAUUGUUUUUUUUUUCUUUUUAUUACUAAGAAACAUAAGACGGAACACGGUAAACUCAAAAGAAGUCCUGUGUUGAGGGUCUGACCUCAUGAGGAAAUUACUAUGCAGUGAUUUUCUCCAAAAUGACUGUGCUUAAAUUGCUCUGAAAAGCAAAUAAUCACAUCAGC